rnacentral:snoRNA from 1 species
UACCAAACCUUUUUGUCAGGGUGCUUCUCUAUCCGUUUUAGGAUAAACUUAUCUACAGAAGUGUCUGUUACUGUUUUGGAAGAGUAAUACUGUUCGCUUAUCCAUAUUUCCCCGUUCUGGGGAAGCCUAAUGGGUAAAUUAGAAGGACAACCUUUGUUUUAAAGGUAUACCUUCGCUUUUUAGAACAGUGAGGAUCUUAUGAGUUGAGCUUUUGUUACUUGAGACUUUAUCUCGGGCUCCAUACAAUAUGUUCGUAGUAAAGAUCUUCACAAUU